rnacentral:rRNA from 1 species
UUCGCAAUGCCCGAAAGGGUGACGAAGCGACGCCGCGUGAGCGAAGAAGGCCCUAGGGUUGUAAAGCUCUGUCGGGGGUUAUGAAAUGUAGACUGGCUAAUAUCCAGUUUAUUUGACAAAGGCCCCAAAGGAAGCCACGGCUAACUCUGUGCCAGCAGCCGCGGUAAUACAGAGGUGGCAAGCGUUGUUCGGUAUUAUUGGGCGUAAAGAGCACGUAGGUGGUUUUGUAAGUCAGAUGUGAAAGCCUUCUGUUCAAAGGAAGAACGGCAUCUGAAACUGCAGAUCUUGAGUGUAGGAGGGGAGAGUGGAACUUCUGGUGGAGCGGUGAAAUGCGUAGAUAUCAGAAGGAACGCCGGCGGCGAAAGCGACUCUCUGGCCUAUUACUGACACUGAGUGUGCGAAAGUUAGGGGAGCAAACGGGAUUAGAUACCCCGGUAGUCCUAACUGUAAACGAUGGGCACUAAGUAGAGGGGUUUU